AUUGAACGCUGGCGGCAGGCCUAACACAUGCAAGUCGAGCGGAUGAAGGGAGCUUGCUCCUGGAUUCAGCGGCGGACGGGUGAGUAAUGCCUAGGAAUCUGCCUGGUAGUGGGGGAUAACGUCCGGAAACGGGCGCUAAUACCGCAUACGUCCUGCGGGAGAAAGUGGGGGAUCUUCGGACCUCCCGCUAUCAGAUGAGCCUAGGGCGGAUUAGCUAGUUGGUGGGGUAAAGGCCUACCAAGCCGACGAUCCGUAACUGGUCUGAGAGGAUGAUCAGUCACACUGGAACUGAGACACGGUCCAGACUCCUACGGGAGGCAGCAGUGGGGAAUAUUGGACAAUGGGCGAAAGCCUGGUCCAGCCAUGCCGCGUGUGUGAAGAAGGUCUUCGGAUUGUAAAGCACUUUAAGUUGGGAGGAAGGGCAGUAAGUUAAUACCUUGCUGUUUUGACGUUACCAACAGAAUAAGCACCGGCUAACUUCGUG
rnacentral:rRNA from 1 species